rnacentral:rRNA from 1 species
GACGAACGCUGGCGGCGUGCCUAAUACAUGCAAGUAGAACGCUGAAGGAGGAGCUUGCUUCUCUGGAUGAGUUGCGAACGGGUGAGUAACGCGUAGGUAACCUGCCUGGUAGCGGGGGAUAACUAUUGGAAACGAUAGCUAAUACCGCAUAAUAGCAGUUGUUGCAUGACAACUGUUCGAAAGGUGCAAUUGCACCACUACCAGAUGGACCUGCGUUGUAUUAGCUAGUUGGUGGGGUAACGGCUCACCAAGGCGACGAUACAUAGCCGACCUGAGAGGGUGAUCGGCCACACUGGGACUGAGACACGGCCCAGACUCCUACGGGAGGCAGCAGUAGGGAAUCUUCGGCAAUGGACGGAAGUCUGACCGAGCAACGCCGCGUGAGUGAAGAAGGUUUUCGGAUCGUAAAGCUCUGUUGUAAGAGAAGAACGAGUGUGAGAGUGGAAAGUUCACACUGUGACGGUAUCUUACCAGAAAGGGACGGCUAACUACGUG